GCUCCUCUCUUGAUUUCCUUUCUCUUUUUCUUGCUUUUAGCCUAUUUUGAUCUUCUCUCUUUGCUUUUUCUUGUUCCGUGUUGGGAUUUCUACUUUGGAUAAGCAUUGGAUUGAAGAUUGGAGCUUGUGGGAAGGAAGAUCUUCAACCAUAGUGAUCUUGGAGCCUUGUUUGGAGCUUCAUUUGAGGUUGGAUUAGUGGGCCUCUAACUCCCUUUUGGAGAUCGAGAGGGGUUUCUUCGCUUUCGGGUGCUAGGAGAGUGGUGGGCAACCUCGUUCGGCGAAACGAAGGGUUACGAGAGUCACGGUGGAUUUGGCUUCAUUGGAAUGGGAGGAAUUUUCUCCUAUGUGGUUAAAAGUUGUCAUAACAUCGAAAUGCAUGCAUAUUCAUACUAGAUAGGAUUUUUAUGAAUUUUAGAAUACUUAAAAUGCAUGUGUUAUGUUUUAUGAAAAAUUGACUCUAUGUAGUAAAGAGCUCUAUGUAUUACUCAUGCAUGUGAAUAAUAUUCUUCCUUGUGAGUUGGCAACAUGUCUCUUGUGAUGAAAAUGACUCGAAUUAUGAACUCCUGAACACUAAACUCAUGCUUGGACUUAGUGGAUAAAAAUGCCAUAAAGGGGCACCGAACUAGUAAACUGUGAAACUGCAACAUAGAAAC